UACGGAAGGCAGCAGUGGGGAAUAUUGGACAAUGGGCGGAAGCCUGAUCCAGCCAUGCCGCGUGUGUGAAGAAGGCCUUUUGGUUGUAAAGCACUUUAAGCGAGGAGGAGGCUCUCCUAGUUAAUACCUAGGAAGAGUGGACGUUACUCGCAGAAUAAGCACCGGCUAACUCUGUGCCAGCAGCCGCGGUAAUACAGAGGGUGCGAGCGUUAAUCGGAUUUACUGGGCGUAAAGCGUGCGUAGGCGGCUGAUUAAGUCGGAUGUGAAAUCCCUGAGCUUAACUUAGGAAUUGCAUUCGAUACUGGUCAGCUAGAGUAUGGGAGAGGAUGGUAGAAUUCCAGGUGUAGCGGUGAAAUGCGUAGAGAUCUGGAGGAAUACCGAUGGGCGAAGGGCAGCCAUCUGGGCCUAAUACUGACGCUGAGGUACGAAAGCAUGGGGAAGGCAAACAGGAUUAGAUACC
rnacentral:rRNA from 1 species